UAUAUCCAAUUGAUCCAGUACUCGUUUCCUAUCGGUGUAUAAUCUAAACGUGUAAACGGGAUCCACGUGUGUGUACACUGUCGCGCGUUCGAUCUACGAGAAUGUAAAAAGAAUGGAAUGCAUUGGAACUGUGUGGGCCGUCUAAAACGAAAAGCCAUCGUGAAGUUGGACCAAUGAAUCACAGAGGAUUCAGAAACGCAAAUUUAAACGGAAUGAAAGCUCGAUUCGUUUGAAGUAAAUUUUAUUUUGAAGGAUGAUAAGAUUGUACGAAUUAAAAAUUUAAAAAGGAAAACGUUAACAACGCGCCAAAGAACGAGAAAAUCGUUGACGUAUAAAAGGGGGUGCGCAACCCUUAAAUAUCGCUCGCGGAUAUGACGAGUCUUCCUUUUCCUUCCACGCUCGUCGAAGAUUCAAUCAUGCAGAAUGCCUGUCAAGAUCUCGUUACCUCUUUCACGGACGAAACGAAUUUCCUCAUUUUUCAUCCUGAUACCAACCACUCGGAAGAAACGAACGCGUUAUGGCUCCAGCCGAUUUAGGCGAACUAUGCGAAAUCGUCGAAAAUUUGAAACGCGAUUGCUUCGUCUAUUUUUGGUGAACGUUUUCACUUCCGCUUCCUCUUUGACCACCGUUAUGAAUUCUCGCGUAAACGUAUCAGUUUCAAGUGUGGUCGAAAGAGUGGAAGCAUAAGAUUGCAUAUUUCAUGAUCACGUGCAUAUGUAAAGUACGUCCAUGUUGUAAAAUAUAUACAGCGUAGAAACUUCGUUCGUAUGAAAGGAAUUCGUUGAAAAUUUAAGCUUGAUAUUUAGAAGAUUAAUUGUUUAAAUUCGGUGUGCUUGAUUUUUUGUAAUAUCCAUUGAAUAUUUUUUAUUAUUAUUCAUAUUCACGUAAGAUUCACAAGAAUCAUAUUUAUAAAAGUUGUUAAACAUUAGCUCGUAGAUUUUCAAAAUCCAGAUAUGGCGUCUUUGUUAAAAUGUUAAAAUAAUUUCAGAUAAAUUUUUUAUUUGUUAUUAAACGAAAACAAUUUAAGAUUUAAUUAUUAACAUAUUCGGCAUAGCAAUGAAAUUCGUGAAGCUUGGCAUUUCAGGGAAGCUGUGUACUAUCAUGAAUAUUUAACAUUCCAGUUUCUAACAGGACUAAUAAAUUCAAGACAGCAUACAUUGUAAAACAAUAAAGUAUAAAUUUAUAAUAGAAAGAAUAAAGUUACAAAAAUUCCGAUUGUAAA